AUUGAACGCUGGCGGCAGGCCUAACACAUGCAAGUCGAGCGGAUGAAGGGAGCUUGCUCCUGGAUUCAGCGGCGGACGGGUGAGUAAUGCCUAGGAAUCUGCCUGGUAGUGGGGGAUAACGUCCGGAAACGGGCGCUAAUACCGCAUACGUCCUGAGGGAGAAAGUGGGGGAUCUUCGGACCUCACGCUAUCAGAUGAGCCUAGGUCGGAUUAGCUAGUUGGUGGGGUAAAGGCCUACCAAGGCGACGAUCCGUAACCGGUCUGAGGGGAUGAUCAGUCACACUGGAACUGAGACACGGUCCAGACUCCUACGGGAGGCAGCAGUGGGGAAUAUUGGACAAUGGGCGAAAGCCUGAUCCAGCCAUGCCGCGUGUGUGAAGAAGGUCUUCGGAUUGUAAAGCACUUUAAGUUGGGAGGAAGGGCAGUAAGUUAAUACCUUGCUGUUUUGACGUUACCAACAGAAUAAGCACCGGCUAACUUCGUG
rnacentral:rRNA from 1 species